AUUGAACGCUGGCGGCAUGCCUUACACAUGCAAGUCGAACGGUAACAGGCCGCCAGGUGCUGACGAGUGGCGAACGGGUGAGUAAUGCAUCGGAACGUGCCCAGUCGUGGGGGAUAACUGCUCGAAAGAGCAGCUAAUACCGCAUACGACCUGAGGGUGAAAGCGGGGGACCGUAAGGCCUCGCGCGAUUGGAGCGGCCGAUGGCAGAUUAGCUAGUUGGUGGGGUAGAGGCCUACCAAGGCAACGAUCUGUAGUUGGUCUGAGAGGACGACCAGCCACACUGGGACUGAGACACGGCCCAGACUCCUACGGGAGGCAGCAGUGGGGAAUUUUGGACAAUGGGCGCAAGCCUGAUCCAGCAAUGCCGCGUGCAGGAAGAAGGCCUUCGGGUUGUAAACUGCUUUUGUCAGGGAAGAAAUCUUCUGGGCUAAUACCCCGGGAGGAUGACGGUACCUGAAGAAUAAGCACCGGCUAACUACGUGCCAGCAGCCGCAGUAAUAC
rnacentral:rRNA from 1 species